GGGGGGCCACGUGACGCCUGUUCAGGGGCAUGCCUGAGCAGCACUCUGCCUUACUGCUCAUAUUCAGCUACAGUUGUGGGGGUGGCAAUAUUAAGCAACAGAAAGGCCGUAUAGGGAGUCUGUUGAAUAGUUUACUUCUCAACGAGUCAAUGUGGGCUGAAAACAUUUUAGCAGUAAGGAGAAUAUGUUGUACUGCUUGUUAUGCAGACUAUACUUGUUAUACUUGUUAUCUUGCUUUGGAUCUCUUUUGUCUGUGUGCAAGGUGAAAUGGCAAGAACUGUGAGGGAUAUGAGCAUUGUGUGGCUUUUACCCACUCCCCGCAAAAUAGGGAGGGGAUGUUUUCCACACGAUGCUCUGCUCUGCUGUUAGGUCUCCCUCCAGGCGACAGUCAUCAUUUGAUGAUCGCUAAGGUCAUGAGAUAGCGUUUUGCUGUCUGACCGGACGGAAUCUGACAACAGAUCUUAGGGAAAGUUUGCCAAAUGUGAUCUAUACACAUAGUAACAUGAAUACAUAUUAAUCAACGUAAACCAAAUACAUAUUAAAUGAAUGCUAAGAAACGCAAGAGUCCUAGUGCAGGAAUAUAAAGAUGUAUGUUAGGAUUAGGCUAGGCAGGGGGUGUGCCGCAAGGCCUACCCACAUGGGCUGUCGUGCGAAGGCGGCACAAAAAGAGUGCUCCACAGUCUCUG